rnacentral:rRNA from 1 species
CCUACGGGUGGCAGCAGUGAGGAAUAUUGGUCAAUGGCCGGAAGGCUGAACCAGCCAUGCCGCGUGAAGGUCAGUGCCCUAUGGGCGUUAAACUUCUUUUGUGCGGGAGCAAUAAUGGUCACGUGUGGCCAGACGAGAGUACCGUACGAAUAAGCAUCGGCUAACUCCGUGCCAGCAGCCGCGGUAAUACGGGGGAUGCAAGCGUUAUCCGGAUUUAUUGGGUUUAAAGGGUGCGUAGGCUGGGAGGUAAGUCAGCGGUGAAAUGCCCCCGCUCAACGGGGUGAAGUGCCAUUGAUACUGCCUGGCUGGAAUGCGGAUGCGGUGGGAGGAAUGUGUGGUGGAGCGGUGAAAUGCAUAGAUAUCACACAGAACACCGAUUGCGAAGGCAUCUCACGAAGCCGCGAUUGACGCUGAUGCACGAAAGCGUGGGUAUCAAACAGGAUUAGAUACCCUGGUAGUC